AGUACAGAACCAAAAACUCUUUGCUAAGUACUUCUUCACACUUGGCUUCACAGCUUCACACUUGGCUUCACGGCUUCACACUCCAAAAAAUAGGCCUGGAGCUCCUGUAAAAUAAUGAACAUAAAGGCCACCAAAAUUAGAGAGUACUGCUGCUGAGGCCAGAACCAAACAACUUCAAUAUUACAAUAAAAAGAAGUCUUAGGUUUAUCAAGCAUAGCAAAAUAGCACUGUGGCCAUCAGUCAACACUGUUAGAUUUUAAUUCUAAUCUUUUCCUAGGUUCUAUAAGCUUAAAUUUCAGAGACCUGAUUGACACUGUAGGUUCUAUAAGCUUAAAUUUCAGAGACCUGAUUGACACUGUAGGUUCUAUAAGCUUAAAUUUCAGAGACCUAAUUCAAUUUAGAAAAGGAGUGGGAGCUUAUUUUAGAGGCAAGUGAGUGAGUGGACAUGUUAUUAGUCUUAAUUACCAGGAUUUGGAAGAGAACGCUGGUGGAGAAGAUGCACGCAAGGCCACCAAGCCAGCUGCAACAGCAGCAUGAGCAGCAGUUAAUUGGAGGAAACAAACCAAAUGGGAUAGCUGAUGAACGCGGCAAACAGUCGAACAAUGGAAGUACUUACAUUGUCAAGGCAGAAAUCGAUCAAGAGUAAAUUGACAGCAGCAGCAGCAUCAUCCAGGCAGCCAAACGUGCUCCCAAACCAGGCAGUUUACCUAAUAUUGACCAUCCAAUGUCACUGUAAAGACCUGAAAUACAUGCAAUGAUUUAACAUGAUAUUUUUGUGCAGAGCAAAGUAGCAUAUGGGCAUCAGAAAUAUGUUACUUUAGAAUGCAGAGCAAAGUAAACCUCUCAACUCCACUAGUUAUUAUUAUGAGUACAAUGAUCCCCUUUGAUACCAUCAUACAUGAAUUAGAAUCUCUAAAGUAUGUCAAUCAGGGAUGAUAAUAUGAAGCAGGCACAGCGACAGAAUGAAGUGAAAUCUUUAUGCAAGCCCAUGUACUUUGGUAUAAAGAAGCAUUGAAGCAAUUAAAAGCAAGCUUCUAGAUCUGUGUUUGGAUGACAAAAAAUUGUACAAGCUGAGUUAUUUGAUGAAAUAAUCCAAGCCUUUAGGCUCCUACUGGAUAUGCUCUUAAUGUAGACAGUGCGUAGAUCCACUAUGGACAGUUGGACACAAUCACAGUAAGAUCUUAUCUAUUGUAGAUGUAUUGUCUUUGUUAGGAUCACAAGCUAUAUGGAUCAUGAUGGACUGUUACUAAUAGCUGAAUGGCAAUCUAAGAAGUCAGACACUACCAGUUCUAGGCUGUCAACUCAGCAAGCAACAUCGCAAUCCUCUCAACACAACUAGUUAUUAUUAUGCAUUGGCAUCAAAGGGGAUCAAAGAUUUAAUCACUAAUCACAGAUCACGACAGAACAACCAAACGAAGGAAGAUCUCUACUCGUCUAGUAGCAAGCAGGCAAGCAACCAAACACCUGCAGGGCCCACGUCAGUUCCAUGGACGAACGCGUACCAAAUCUGAACUGCUGCUCGAGCCUGAGCCCGACGAGC
rnacentral:lncRNA from 1 species